GAGAUGGUUCUCUAUGAGGUCCAUCAUCGGAAUGGGUACAAUUUAAACCCUUUAAUGAGGAUCUAUUGGAGGGCAAGUCUGGUGCCAGCAGCCGCGGUAAUUCCAGCUCCAAUAGCGUAUAUUAAAGUUGUUGCGGUUAAAAAGCUCGUAGUUGGAUCUGCGGUCUUGUGUCCUGGUGUUCCUUAGGGGUUCUACUGGGUUCGCAGGCCUACCUCGUUGGUUUUCCCCUGGUGCUCUUAACCAAGUGCCUUGGGUGACCAACAAGUUUACUUUGAAAAAAUUAGAGUGCUCAAAGCAGGCGUGUAGCCUGAAUAGUGGGUGCAUGGAAAUAAUGGAAUAGGACCUUGGUUCUAUUUUGUUGGUUUUUCGGAGCUCGAGGUAAUGAUUAAGAAGGGACAAACGGGGGCAUUCGUAUUGCUGCGUUAGAGGUGAAAUUCUUGGAUCGCAGCAAGAACGGAAAACUUGCAAAAGCUUUUGCCAAG
rnacentral:rRNA from 1 species